ACGGCUCAGUAACACGUGGAUAACCUGCCCAAGGGUCUGGGAUAACCCCGGGAAACUGGGGAUAAUACCGGAUGGAUCACUAGUGCUGGAAUGCUUGGUGGUCGAAAGGCAACGCCUUUGGAUGGGUCUGCGGCGGAUUAGGUUGACGCCGGUGUAACGUACCGGCGUGCCUGUAAUCCGUACGGGUUGUGGGAGCAAGAGCCCGGAGAUGGAUUCUGAGACACGAAUCCAGGCCCUACGGGGCGCAGCAGGCGCGAAAACUCUACAAUGCAGGCAACUGCGAUAGGGGGACAUCGAGUGGCAUCCACCUUGGGUGCCUGUCCAACCGUCUAAAAAACGGUUGUUAGCAAGGGCCGGGUAAGACCGGUGCCAGCCGCCGCGGUAAUACCGGCGGCUCGAGUGGUGGCCGACAUUAUUGAGUCUAAAGGGUCCGUAGCCGGCUUUGCAAGUCCCCUGGGAAAUCCAGCGGCUUAACCGUUGGGCUUUCAUGGGAUACUACAUUGCUUGGGACUGGGAGAGGUAGGAGGUACUCGGGGGGUAGGGGUGAAAUCCUGUAAUCCUCCGGGGACCACCGGUGGCGAAGGCGUCCUACCAGAACAGGUCCGACGGUGAGGGACGAAAGCUAGGGGCACGAACCGGAUUAGAUACCCGGGUAGUCCUAGCCGUAAACGAUGCCCGCUAGGUGUCACGACGGUCGUGAAUCGUCGUGGUGCCGUAGGGAAGCCGCGAAGCGGGCCACUUGGGAAGUACGGCCGCAAGGCUGAAACUUAAAGGAAUCGGCGGGGGAGCAC
rnacentral:rRNA from 1 species